AAGACCCUGUUGAGCUUG
rnacentral:ncRNA from 3 species